UCAGCCACUUUGAAAACGAGGAGAAUUUUUCGCGACGACUCGAUCAAUUUCUACUUCUUUAUUCAACAUUCUUAUUAAUUUAUUAAUACAUUCAGUUAUAUAUAUGUAGAUUAAAUUCUUUGCUAAUAAUAAAGCUCAACACCAGGCACAAUGAAAUGAUGACACGAAUAUUUGGGAAUAUAAAAAUUUGAAAGUU